UCUGGAGUAAUUGGUUUCUGAUGAGCAAUCGCAUGUAAAACCAAUAGCAAAAGCAGGAAGCAAAAUAUAAAUUCUCCCUUUCUAUGUCGAGCUCUUCAUUAGGACUGCACGCCUGGCUUCUUCCUGGGAUCCAGUGGAAAAGCCAAGCAGUGGGUAAACAGGGCUGGGAACUAAGCCUGGGAAGGACCCUGUAUGAGCAAAAAAACAGAGAGCACAGCUCUGCCUAUUGCUUCUGGGGGCAGACAGAGCAACCACAGUAGCCAUCAGGCUUCAGCUUCUCAAUGAGCUCUUUGGCACGCUUGGGGCUUUGGGCAGGGUGUGGGGAGAGCAGCUCCCAGAAGUGUUUCCUUAUGGGGUGGACCUGAAUGUGCCACUGCCCAGAAGAGGCCAAGAGAUCAAGGAAGGCAAAAAGCUUGAGGUGAUAUUCAUGCUGCAUGUCAAACCAGGGAGCACCAGCUGGUGGCAAUCUGCCUGGCACCCUGCAUUUGCAAAAUGCAACAGGUGUUGAUGUCUGCAUUUGAUAUAAGGGCUGAGGUUAUGAGGCAAUGGUUAUCUCUAUCUAUUCCCAGUGCCAAGGAAGGAGGCUGCAAAUCUGCCCUGGCUUUUGUGUUCCUGAUGAGUGUUAUGGUGCUUAAGGCUUGAUUCAUUCCCUUUAUCACUCCCCCAAACGUUUCCACUUCUGAACUGAAGUUCCCAAAUGACUCUUUCACAUCUACAUACAGGCUGGUCCCAAAGCACGCUUCUGUUUCCUACCAAGAUAUGUGUGUCCUGAAGGCUGAUCCUUUCACUUCCCAGAUGAUUGUGAAGAAUAAGAAAUGGAUAAGAAUAAAAGAGGAAGGAGAGGGGAGGGGGAGGGAAAAGAAGCAGGAAGUGAACCCUUCCCUUGUUUGUUACUAAGUCCUACCUUAUAACUGUCAUUAUUUUGGCCAUAUCCCCAGUUUUUCCCUUUCCAAGCUCAGCAAUGAGGAGGUCAGGCUCACACCAUCAGCUCACAUCAUCAUACAUUCUUUUUAAGUGUGUGUGCCAUUUACAGGGCUCAACUUACUGCGGUGGAGGCACAAAGUGAUUCACAAUGGAAGAUAUUUUAUCAACCCAGGCAAUAUUUUCAUCACUGUUUUUGCUCAUUUUGUGCCUCUGACCUGGCCUAGGAAACUUGUAGAGGAUGUAGGUGUAUGGGAGACCUGGGAGAGAAAACAGGAGGUGGUACUCAGGGCUAUGAGAACUUCUGCCCUGGGAAAGUAUUUGCAGCUGUUUCAGGUAGGAGGUGGAAAGAUGGGGAAAACACGGGGGAAAAAUGAUGACAGCUGGGAAUAGUUAAGCCGUAAUGAAAUCUCCUUUCACUCCCUUCUGGGUGGGUGUUUUACUGGGUGGGAACAUGCAGUGCUUGGGAUACUACAGGUAGGAAAUGGGGUUGCUGGGUGCAAGGUCCUUGUCUUCCACCUUAGGCCCCUUUUAGAGCCCCCCCAUAGAGCAAAGAGGAAAGAAUCCUUUUCUUCCUGCAACUCUUUAAUGCAGGUUGUACUUGCAGAGAAGAUAUGAAGAAAUAUGAAGAAAAUUAAUCCCUGCACCAAAUAUUUUGGGCACAGAGCGUGCGGUGAAGGCAAGGAAGUGGAAUUACACUGCAAAUGUCAGGAGCUAUGAAAUAUGUAACAGCCUUUAAUAUUCUGCUGCUGUUAUUGCCCAGAGUGUCUCUCACCUGCACUCACAGUAAGUGAAGUGCCUUUUGUUGAGCCCAGAUGUCACCGAGCAGGGAAGAUUUCUGUGCUUCCUAUCUUUAUUUUAAAGCUCCACUGUGACAUAUUGAUAAUAAACGUUCUCUGCUCCCAAACUCUCAUUUUAAGAUGAAUUUCAGACUUUAGGAUUGACCCCUAUUUCGUGCUCCACUGAACUUUGGCCUUGAAAGCCCCACUACUUGCAGCUUAACUCUGACUUCUCCAUUCCAGGCUGUAGCUACCUGUGAUACCUAAUGCUGAGCCAGCUACUUGGAUGCUGCACUGAAGAUGUAAAACUUUAACCAUGCAUCUCUUGUAUCUCGCUUCCCCAUGGGGUUAUGUUUCAAGAGCAAAGAAAAACCCAUUUUACACAUUAAAAUUGAAAGUAGAGUCGCUGAAAGGGCUGUGAUGGCUUUUCGUGGAGCUCAGAGCAUCACGCCUUGCUCCUGGAGGGAUCUCGCAGGAUGCAAACAGCCCCUCACCCCACAGCCCCGCCCUCUCUAGACCCUCUGCUGGGGAGGAAUGGGGUCAGCACCCCCCAGCUCUGUCUCAGUGCCCAGAGCUGGGGUACAAAAGCAGCACUGUGUUCCUUGAUAUGCUGCUUUAAUUUCCCCUUGAUAAAGCCAUCCCCGUGGCUUGGAAAAGAGCUUUGGGAGGGGAAACCCGGCUCCCUGUAACUCCAUCAGCGAAGCCUGAGCCCCAGAGCACCCCGUUUAAUGGGAGAGGUUCCUGCCGGGCACCGGUGCUGAUGUGGCACAAAGAGCAGCGGUGGCAGAUGAACGAGCAGCUCCCCCGCUCCGGGAUUUGAGCAAUCAGGAAAUAUAAUCCGAGCUGGAAAGUGCCCGAGCAUCUGCUGGGUUAUUAAUAAAUUGUAUGCAAUCUGUCCGGGAUGAACCUCGGGAUGGAGGAAGCCAUCUGCUCCCGAGCCGGAGCACUAAUGGUAUCUGGGGAAUGAACUUAGCGGGGUGGGCCGGCCUGCAGCAUUCUGGGGCUGCUCUGGAGGUACCGGCUCUGGAGGGACCCCGAGGGGUGGCGCGGGUUGAGCACGGCGCGGUGCCCUCACCCCACGCUGCUUUCCGUGGGGGCACAGCACGGGGGCCCCGCUCUGGUGCCGGCUGCCGUUAAGUGCCGCCCCUGGAUGUUCUUCUCUAUUGUUUAUUCUCUGCCAGCUGCUGCCGCUCGGCCCACAGCCGGGUUCCGGUGCGUGCUGUUAUCGGGGUGGAUGAGGGUUGGCGUGUCGGUGUCAGCGAUGCGUUGUGGGGACGCCUGGCCCCGCAGGCCGAGAAGCCCCGAUCUUAAUUGCUGAGCGGUGUCUGUUGUCACCAUGAGGGUGUGGGGUCGAUGUAGCACAGCAGGAGGACCCACCUUCCCAUAGAGCAAGAACCGCGGACUGCAGCAUCCCUAAAACAACACGUGGGAACGCUACCACCGUGAGGAUCGCUAUCCCAAACAAAGGCUACUCUAAACAAAGACAAAACCUCCAGCAGCGGGACAGGGGCAGAUAAAGAGCGAGUGCUGCGGCUGCUGGGAUCCCGGCCGUGCAGCCGAACACCCCGCAUCGCGGCUGCGCUCACGGCUCCGCUGUCGCUCGGCACGGCGCUAUUUCGUGCCCCGAGCACCGCGGCGCUGUCAGGACGUUUCCUGUGCUGGAGAGGAAGAGAGCAGCGCGUUGUCUCCUACGCUGCGGAUCUCAGCCGGCGGCCCCGCGGGGGGGAAGGACUUGUCAGAGGCUGCGCGAGGCUUUUGCCCGGCCCUGCGACAUGUUCGUGUCACUCAGCGCCGGCAGCCGGGCACGAAGCGAUGGACGUCGGCCGGUUUCUUUCCGAAACGCGCCGGGGAAGGAAGGCUCCAGCUCCGCCCUGAAGACAGAGACACCGAGGGCGGCCCUUUCCCGUUCCCCGCUCCGGGAUCCUGCCCGCACCGCGGCCGGUGGGUGCAGAAGGGAAGGGCAGCAGCACGGACCCAACUCCGCGGUGCCGAUUCCGGCCCCUGACCGCAUCCCUGUCGGCCGGCACUGCCCGUUGCAGGGAGCCCCCCCGAGGAGGGUGGGGGUGGGAUGGGGCCUCCCAGUCCCUUUCCCCGUGAUUAGAGCACUGCUGGAUGGCACGAGGGGGCACUUCAAGCGUUUUCGCUUUAGGGAAGACUUUGAAAUCCGAUCUACGCUUGUCCGGGCAGUGCUGUAACCUCGGAGCUGUGCCUUAGGGCCGUGAGCGACCCGCCCCGCACGAUGCGGACACACCGGCUCGGAGCUCAGCAGCUCCAGGUCUCUGUGGAUGGGGACGCUGUCCCAGGGCCGGCCGGUCCGCAGCAGCGGGGCCGUUUCUAUCUCGGUGUCCGACAACGUCCUGGGUCACGGCACCGACUCUGCCGGAGCUGCGGCUUUUUCUUCUCGAUUCUCCAUCUCUUGCUUCAGAGCGUCCUACAGCCGCGCCUUGAGCUCAGCGGGAGCCAACCAGGGAAAUAUCCAGGAAUAUUUCCAAAUAACCAUUGGAAAAGUCUCUUUGUCUCCACUGCCUAAAGAGAGCUGGGAACAGGGAACGUCCCAGCUGGGCGGAGCUCCACCUACGUGCUGCACGCUGGGCUCUGCAUUGCUUCUUUGAGGACCUGGAGUUCAUUAUGAUGAUGGAUAAACCCAGUCUGUGAUGUCGAGAGUCCUGGUUAUUUUCCAUCGGAUUAGCGAGGCGGUCAGUCCUGCUGUCUCAUGCAGUGCCCGGCCAUUCGCUGAGACGUCAUAGUCUCGGGAGGGGCGACCCUCACAGCUGCUCGGUUCGAGGCCGGUACCUCGGAGACGCGCCAGAUUCGGAGGUGCUGAUCCAAGCCACGCGUCAAUAGAAACUCCACCACCGCGGCUGCUUUGUCUAAAAUCUCGUCAACCUCUCCCUAUGAAACUGGCAGCUUUUCUGUGCAGAUACAGGUGGUGCAAAAGCCCAUCUGUGUUGAUUGUGCAAUAUUAUGAUGCUUGAGGAUGUGCCUUAACCUCGGUGGAAGCUGGAUUUCAUCAGAAGUCAAGAUCGUGUGGGCUGCAUUUGACUGCUGCUCAAUGGAUAUAGAAAUGAUGCAGAUAACCACUCUAACACAGGAGAAGAGAUGUUGCAUCCAGUCCCCUUGGCAGCAGAGCUUUUUCCCCCUCUUUAGUAGCCGUUUUAUCAAUAAAAACAUCUUACUACUAUUUUAUUCUGAGAAACUUUAAUUCAGACUUCAGCACAGCUCUAACACACCUGAAAAUACAGCAGUGCUCUGUUUGCUGACUGCAGAAUUAUUUUCCCAUCCCCAUCAAUACAGCAUGAAACUUUUCCUCCAAAGAAGAUCUACUUCUCUGAGGUAAGUGGAUGAACUUAGCAAAUGGGUAAGUAGGAGAAAAAUACAUAAAUACUCCCUCUAUAAAAGCCUUUCAUCCUGGACUCAUGUAGGGUGAGCCUGGUGACCAGCCCAGCAUCUCUUUCUAUGCACUUGUUGUGACAUUGAUCUCUGCCCCGAAUCUUAAUUUCUUCUACUACACGAACCAGAAACAAAACAAACCAAAACAACCAAAAGACAAACAAUGAAAUGAAACAAACCAACCCAUCACAUAGGCCUUAUUUUUAGGAAAUUCAGAGCUCAGAUCAAAUCUCUGCAUUCAUUUUGGAAGAUCUUGUCCAAUCUUAUUUGUAUCAUUCCACUAUUUGAUAAUGGAGGACCCGGCUACCUGCACAUGGAGAAGUCAGCAAGGUGCUUUUACACUGGAUGGGAUGGAGCCAUGUCUCCACCUGUCUGUGGUAACUGUGGUGGGAGAUCAUGUAGAAUUUGUAGGCAAAGGAAUGGAAAUCAAGAACAAAGCUUGUUCCAUUACAUUCUGAAUUGAGUAGGAAUGAGUUAAUGGAAGCCCAUCUUCAGAGUCUGAAUUUCCUCUGUGCUCUGCAUGGAAGGCCUUGGGAUAAGAAACGUGGUCUAUCCAAAUGCGGCUUUGGGAAGGUGAGCCUGACAUCGGACAAGAUGAAGGAAUGCAGCUAAGGUACAAAGAUACAGGAGGAAGAAGAGUUUGUCUUUGUGUUUUGAGUUCACAGAAGGUAAACAAAGAUGGCACAAAACCAGGUGGCAUCAAGGACUGGACAUGGAUUUGGACUGAGGCAUCAUUCAUAGAAUUGUUAAUGUUGGAGGAGAUUUCUAAGAUCACCAGGUCCAACAAUCAACCCAGGACCAAUCUGCACCUCUUUGUCUUUGAGUGCUAUACAGCAAAGUCCCUGUGGUCUUCAUUGUGAGAGAACCCAUCGAUCACAGGUGUAAGAAGGGGAUCUGUUUCCUACUUUCUAUCUUGGCCUCCAUCACUGUAGAACUUACAUGAACACACUGUGAAUCUCAGAUCUGUGGUGCUUUGGCUGCUGUUUUAUUUUGCUGUUCAAGAACGUGCAGAAAGAGAUGUGAAUGAAGCAGAGUUUUGGAAAGAUUCCAGUUAAAGCACAACAUUCCCAGAAGAGGAACAUUGGUGAUGAUCACUGCAGGAGCCGUCGCACUGAUGGAACAAAGUGUUCAGAUUGAGAAGGAGGCGCUGCCAAAAAGCUCUAUUGCCAUAGAAGGAAAUAGUGGGGAGAAACAUCAGCCAUGGAUGGAGGGAAGGGACCCCUUUCCUGAAUUCCUCCCUGUGCUCCGUCCUUGUAAGACUGACGUGAACAUGUGAAGACCCUCUUCUCAGUAUAAUCCCUACAGGCAACAUGUGGAUUUGCUAUGAGAAUUGAAUAGAAGGGCAUGAGAAUACAGCGUGCUUUUGGCAGUAAUUCAGGUUAAAUCCUCAAGGUUUCUGACAGGAAAAUCGAUCGCUGUGGCUGUGGGAGCUCCCUCACCAACCAGUAAAUGCAUUCAGUACGUUUCAUGGCACAUAUAUUUGACUUGGAGAACAAGAUGAAAGAUUAGUAGGCAUCUCAUUUUAAGUACAUACAAAGAUUUUCAGUCAGCUGCUGGAUUGAAGCGUGCUGUGGGUAAGUACUGGGGUAAAACAAUCAAACAAACAAAAGCAACUGAAAGUGGAGAAUAAGGAAUGGAAAAAGUCAAAGAUGAAGUGAACUCGAUUCGAUAUGCAGAGAAGCACGAGAAGCAAUUCCCACAGCGAGCUGCGUAGUGACACUCUGAGCUAAAAAAUGUGCGAUACAACGAGGCAAAGGGAGGGGAACACCUGCUGAUAGCCGUGGAAUCAGUUACUGUUCUGAACAAGCAGCCACUGAUACUGCAGGUAAGUCAUUUGUACCCAGCAGGUAAGCGGUUGAGAUACAGGUGUAGGGCUUUUCACAGUUCAAUUGUAUUCCCGUUAUGCUGGAAGGACUGAAC